AUUCCAAUCUACACUCUCUCUCUCUCUCUCUCGACCUCUCUCCCUCCAAUCUCCCCCUCCAUACUCUCUAUACAUACAACACAUCCUUCAGAGCCAGAACCGGCAAAAUGGGCAACGACGAGGCAAUAUUUUUCACCACACCAGUAACCAAAAAUCCCACAACACUGACCGGAGAUUUUGAAGAAGAAGCUCAUGAUUAGAUUUUGUAAAAUUUGAGGCCGACCCAACCCUACUUCUCUGCAAUUUCACUGAAAAAUGGAGAAUCAAGUCAUUUCCAAUGUUGAAACUUAUAUUUCAUUUGAAACAUUGAAUGGCAAUCUCAUUCAGGGCCUAUUGGCAGCAGAAGCAGAGUUUAGAGCGCUACAGUGUGAUUUAAAUUCAAUAUUUCUAUUACCAUUUUCAAUAUGCGUUAUAUAUUUGUUGUUACAUGUAUUGAAAAUGGUAAUAGGAAUAUUAAAUUUAAUCUGAAUUCUACAUCGGGUAUAUAUUUGUUGUAAGUUUUAUAUGUACCACUCGCAAGUACACGAAUCAUGGUGGACAUGUGAUGAAGUGCUAACAAGCAGCGGAACUGUUGGUUGAGCAAAGAAUGCAUUUUGAUUCUUGAUAUGUUUACCUUAAGUAUUAAGAUUAUAUCCUAAUCUUAUGCAUUGGUUUACCCAAGUU